rnacentral:rRNA from 1 species
UCGCCCGCCGCGCCCCGCGCCCGUCCCGCCGCCCCCGCCCGCUCCUACGGGAGGCAGCAGUGAGGAAUAUUGGUCGAUGGGCGGGAGCCUGAACCAGCCAAGCCGCGUGAGGGAAUAAGGCCCUACGGGUCGUAAACCUCUUUUGUCGGGGAACAAAAGCGGGGACGCGUCCCCGUCUGCGUGUACCCGAAGAAAAAGCAUCGGCUAACUCCGUGCCAGCAGCCGCGGUAAUACA